rnacentral:lncRNA from 1 species
AUUUUAGCUUAAAAUUUUUAAAAAAUCAUGAUUACUAUAUUAGUAAAAAGUCUUUACAACAGUUUCAGUAGAACAAAUAACAAAAAUAAUUUAAGCGAGGUAAUCUAAAAAUGCUAGAAAAUAAUAAUUUUUUGAAAAUAUUUCUUUGUUCAAACACAUGUUGAUAAAAUAUGUUUUGGAAAGAUUUAACGACAUGAGUUCAUUAAUAUUAAAGUAUGAACAAGAAAAAAACUUCCAUUGUGAAAAUAGUGAGCUUUUGAAACUGUUUUGUAGUUUUAUGAACAAACUUAUGAUUACUGUGGCUAGGUUUGAAGUUUUAUUCUUAAGGGCAAUGCAUACUUGUACAGUAAUAAAGCUGCUGUUGUUACAAGAUAUGAUGUUGGUGUCAUUAGUUGAAAAAAUGUUUACUAAAUUUGUUAGUAUUUAUUUUCCUGAACAUCAUUUGAUAAUGCUGCCAUUUGAGCAUUCACAACUAUCAAAAUCAAUUAUAAUGACGAGGGUGGGAUAGUUGAGUACCAUUUGAAUCUAUUAUUAGGGGCACUUAAUGCAAGUACUUGAGCCGUUGAAAAUCCCAUUCCUUUCCAUGAUCACACAGAAGAAGGAAUACAACAAUAAUAAUAAUAAUAAUAGUAACCUUGAGCAUUGAUAGUUGAUCCCGUUUAUAUCAAUCAACUCAUUUUUCCCUCACUUUGAAAAAGUCAAAAAAAUGAGCCUUAUAUCAGGAAAUAAAAAUCCACGUAUUGGUGUUUUAUUCGUUCAGUACAAUUCCCCCAAAUACCGACUGCAGUCACAGCCUGGUCAGUAAAUAAAUAUCAAACCCAGUCAAUGCCAAUUCUUCUGCACACAUAAAUUGAACUUAAAAUUAUUCACAAACACACAUACACGUAUAUAUAUAUAUAUAUAUAUAUAUAAUAAGAAUCACUUUUCUUUUCUUCUCGUUUUGAAGAAAGAGAUGAAUUAGUUCCUCAUAAUAGAGGUAGAGCAAACCCAUAAACAGUUCUUUACUAAGGAGUGGAUUGUUGGUUACUGUUUCUUUUGCAAAAAUAAACAUAUUUUCUCCCAGUCUUAAUACAAAAAAACAUAAUUGAGUUAUUUACUUGAGCUGCUAGCUAUUGGUAGCCCUUACUCAAACAAAAUAUUUUAGGUUUAACAAAUUGGAUUCAAUGAGUUGGCACAAGAUGCGGAGAAAUUGUGGGAGAAAUUAAGGCAAGGAAACCCAUGUUGCCUAAGAAUCAGCAACUUUCAUUUGCCACCUUUUGACUAUCCUACACCACCUCUUAUUAGAAAAAUAUAGAAUAUUGAUAUUGAUAAACAAUGAAGACAUUGUCAAGGAUUGCUUGAUUCUCACCAAUGUUCUUGAUGCAUUCAACUCAACGUAGAAAAAUUAGUCAAAGGAUUCUGUGCACCAAAACCCAAUGCAAAUAUUAAUAUAUGCAUUUUGCACUUUGACCACUUUUUGAUAUUGGAGAUUGAAAAGCAUUGCCUUUCAAAGAGUAUUAUAGAACUUUGAAAGGCAAUGCUACAAAUUUAUGGAAGAAGAUGUACACAUAAAAGAAAAUAAAUAAAUAAAUAAAUAAAUAAAUAAAGAGUGAUUUGUUUACAUGAUAAUCAAAAGUUAAUUGUUUUUAUUGCAAAAAACAGCAUUCAUGUAAAGGAGGAUAUGCUAUUUUCUUGAAGGGUUAAUAUAGACAACUAUAAUGACCACAUUGCAUUGCAAACCAUAAAAUUGUGAGGAGAAUUCAAGGUUGAAACCAAUUAGACACAAAACUAAUCUGAAAUCCAUGUUGUCUGAAGAGAAUGAAUCCAGAAUUUUACAUUUUUCUUAUUACUAUUCAAUAUUUGAUCACAUUAAAUGUUUCAAAUUUUGAAGAAUGAGGUAAGAAGCCCCAAAUUUUAAAUCUUUUAAUUGGUUCAAACUAAAAAGUCUCACUUAGUUGGCUUUAUACUUAGAAAAUUCAAUACAAAUCCUUUACAAUAAAAUUAUUGGGGUGGGGUGCAUUGGUUUUGUGCAUAAUAAGAAUAGUGUUGUCCUUCAAAUUUUUCAUUGGAUCCAUCUUAAAAAGUGACAUUUAAAAGAAUUUAAGAAGCCAUGUCUAUCAUUACUCAAAAUAACUUAUUAGAAUCAAGGUAUGAAUU